GUGCUAAUACCGCAUAACAACUAGGUCCGCAUGGUCCGAGUUUGAAAGAUGGCUUCGGCUAUCACUUUUGGAUGAUCCCGCGGCGUAUUAGCUAGAUGGUGAGGUAACGGCUCACCAAGGCGAUGAUACGUAGCCGACCUGAGAGGGUAAUCG
rnacentral:rRNA from 1 species